rnacentral:lncRNA from 1 species
AAAGAGAUCAAGAGAUGUCUGAAGACAGUUAUGCCACACGAUGGCGACAGAGGGCAGCUCCUCAACAAGUGUCCUCCACACUCUCUCAUCUGAGCACAGAUGGAUUUGGUGUGCGUAAUGUUGGACCCACUGGUAAGACAAACACCCUUUUCCACAAAUAAAGACACUCACAUAAAGUUGCAUAUAUUCAAACCUCACGUGACAAAGGUGGGUAGAGCGCACAGAUCACAACAUAAACUCCAAAAAUGGCAUUAAAAUCAGAACCAUCUGUGCGUAAAUGACGCAUCGCGCUCCGUGGCCUGGCUCUUUCUUUCAUAGAUGUUGGCAUAUAAAAUAAAUUUGGCCCACAAAACUGAAUAUUAUAAUAUCCGUAUGUCGGCUUAAAGUAGAUAACGCAUCUGAGCACUGAAACAAAUCAUCUGUUCAGCCGCAGCAGCAGGAAGACGGACAGAGGACACGGAGACGUGUCCAGGUCGAGCUGUGCGAGAAAUAAGAGGAAGAAAGAAAAGGAGGGAGACGAAUUACAUAUCUUGUUAACUUCAUCAUGUGUGUUUAUUUACUAGAUAUUUAAUUUAAUUUGAUGCAGUUUCAGCUGUAUUGAUUCGGUCAGGUUGUGCGCCCAAACGCGUGCCAAACGCGCUCAUCAGAUCAGAUAUAGAUCAGAAUAUAUCUAUAUAGAUCUAAAUGUAUGUGCUGACUCAGAUUAAUAGUUGAUGAUGAUUAUUUAUUGCACUGAAAUCUGCCUUACACUGUGGAAACCUGCCGGUGAGGCAUCAGUGACGUAUGUCGAUACGCCGCCGGUCUACCAAAAUACUACUAGACCAGCUGCGUUCCGCCUUGCGCUGAAAGCUGACCAGGUUUGAAUCGGCGAGCUUUCAGCGCACGUUACACGCCGGUGGCGAGCACGAAAAUGUCACUGCGCCAGCUGAUUCUGUCAACACCUCCCCCUGCCACGCCACCACGCCCAGCUUGGCGGAUCUCGGCUCGCCUCCGUGCGACUCAGUCCUUACACCAGGCUCCGCCAGACGAAAAUACAACUGCGCGGGGCUCGCCGCCCUCCGCCGCCUCACCGGCGCGAACGAAAAUAGAGCCCAAGGUCUUCAUUGACAUCAUACAAUGACUUUCUUUUCAGUACAAAAUAACUUUAUCCUUGUAACCAAAUGACUUAAUUCUUUGUUGUCUGUACAUGACUGUAUUCUCAUGACAAGAUGACUUGUGACUAUAACUUUAUUUUUUUGUCUUUCACAUAAGUUAAUGUCUUGACUUUCAUUUUCUUCUGAUCCCUUCCGCCACUUUAUGGUACUUGAACAACCUUUUCAAGAGCUUUGAAAAUCCAUCAUAAAUAAUCAGUUGUCAUUGAAAUUUUCCUUUUUGUUUCUCUCUCUUUCUAUGGCUUCUUAAUGAUUGCUCUCUUUUUUGUGUCCCCUCUUAUUCUUCCUGCAUUCUCUGUCCCUUUAUUUCAUCUGAGGGCCACUGCUAGCGGUGACUCCAGCUGUGUGUGUGUGUUUGUGAGACUUGUAGCCACCUCCAGUGAAAUAACCUCUCCCGGGGCCAUAGCUGCUGUCUUUUGUUUUAUGACUUGUCAUAAAGUGCACUCUCUUCACACUCACACACAUACUCACACACACAGACUUCACUGCAGGAGUCCACAAUGGCCUUUACACAGUCAACAAUAUAUUGUAAACAUGAUCCUGUGUGUGUUUGUGCAAGGACCCAAACCAUCUUUCUGUUUCCUCUGGGUUUUGGGAGAGUUUAAACAGAACUGCACUCAGAGCAGCAGUGGCAGCCACUCGCCACAGAAUGACCUCACAGAUACACUGACCAUGUCCUCAGGAUGCGUCUGUGUGUCCUUUAGCAGAGGUUUAAGUUCUUAUGGAUAGCUCAGUUACACAAGAACAGGGAAAGGACAAAAUUUAAGGCCCUACCCAUAUGUAGACUGAACCAAAGCUUAGUACCAAAGCUUUGGAAAACAGUGACGUGCUUGUCAUAAGUGAUAGACCAGAGGAUGCUGGGGGAAUGAGGUCACACCCAGGUCAACUGUGAUCCCCUGUAGGAGUUGAAAACAAAGUCAGAAAGUAGCUCCUGCUGUUGCUAGUACUGUUAGCUAUACCACAACAACACACUGCAGGACAGGUUGUGUUGAAGGUAAAAUGACAACAUGGCAAUACUAUCACUGUGACCGAUUAAAUUAUAGACAUUAUGCACUCAUUAAGUGUUAUUGCCAUCUAUUGGUCUGGGACACUCAGGCAUUUUCAAUCAUAUUUACAUUGCACUGUGGACAGAGAAAUAUUCAAGCACAUCUGGUUAAGACAGGAAGGUUUGUGUCUGUAAUCUCUGAACUGAUUGGAAAUGACAAAUGUUUAUUUAAGAUAUGAGGCUUUGUGGCUGUUGUUGUAACUACACUCUGUUAAGUAGCUCCGAGAAACCAGCAGCAUGAAGAACAUCCUGGAGUAGAGGAUGAGAUAGUUUUGUCACUGUCAGUAAGUAUUUUUUCAGCUCUCAUGACUCUUACUGAAGCAUAAUUUUAGGCCCUUGCAUGUGGUUCUUUAAGGCUCUGGACUGUCCCUUUGUUACUCAUCCAAAAAUGUUAAACAUGGUUUUUAGGGUUUUUCAACCGAUGGGUCCAAGAUUUCCCACAGGCCUCACAAGAAGAUAGAGUUUUUGGGGCAGGUAAAGAAUGUGUUUUUCUUUAUAAAACAGUUUUUUAACCUUCACACACAUUUCAGUGGAAGUAUUUUUUCCUGCCAAGUCUGGGAUUGAGGUGUUGACCUUCUGGUCAAAUUUUUUAUUUUUUUUCUUCAAGAUCCUCCCUGAGUUUGGAAAAACAGAUUUUUAUUAACCUGUGAUUUUUCAGCAGGAUUAGAUGAAGGAAAGAGAAAGAUGAGAGGAGCAGAAGACAAAGACAUACACAAAUGGAGGAAGGCAAAGUGUUGCUGACAGAAAUCAAGUGGAAAGAGUGAAAAAAGAAAAAGAAAUGAAGAAGAAAUUUGGGAGAGAAAGAAUAAUGGGGCAAAGAAGUAUUUAAGGCACCACUCAAUACCCCAUCCUGCUUUACCUGCAGUCUACCAAGCAAUAAUUAAGAUCAUGCCAUGAUUUUUUAAGACUGAAUUCUUCGAGUCAUUUUUUCAAAAGAAUAAAACUGUUUAGUUACAUGAUCAAAGUCAUUGUUUUAGGAGACUCAAGUCAUUAUGUUAUGGAAAGAAAGUUGUAAUGUCAAAUUAAGCGAAUAAAGUUAUGUAACAUUUCAAGAAUAAAAUCUUUAUGUCAAAAGCAUUAGGUUGUUCGUUUAGUCAGUGGUCAGCCUCAUGGUGUCACAUAUCUCAGCUCUCUGCUCAGUCUUUUUAGAGUUCUGAUCCUUAAAACAGUGUGGAUCCAAGGAGACAAAAUAUUAGGGACACUUUAAACACUUUAACCAACCAUGUGACUCGAUAGUCUGAUGACUCUAUUCUCAUAAUAAAAUUAUUUUACUCAUAAUUUCUUUAAUGGCCUUCAUUCUCUGUCACAGACAAGAGCUCUUUUGGGCGACUUAAUAAUACACAUGUCUGUAGAGUGAGAGAGGGACAAUGGACAGUGAACAGGUAGUUAUUUAGACUAGACCAUCUUUAGUUUCAUCUACAUAUACUGCUCAUUACCAGCCAAAGACCAAAGCUGUAAAUAUGACACUAUGGGCUCUAUUUUCGUGCCUCGCCGGAGACGUGCCGCAAGCGCGGCAUCAGUCAGAUCCGCCGUGCUGACAAGGCGUUACCAAGCACAUUUUGGUGAGCCGCGCACCAAGUAUCGACGUAAGUAUCCCCCCUCCCUAACUCAGCUCCUCCCAGCAGCUUAAGCCGUAGCGAGGUAGGAGAUAGGGCGGAGAGUGGGUUUAACACAGCCGAGACCUGUUUUCACCAAUCACAUAAGCUCCUCUCCUUGCCUUUAAAUCCGCCACAGGCGAGGCGUAUAACUAUUUUCAUGAAGUAGUCAAAGAGAUCAAGAGAUGUCUUAAGACAGUAAUGCCACAAGAUGGCGACAGAGGGCAGCUCCUCAACAAGUGUCACUUGGGCGUCCUCCACACUCUCUCAUAUAAGCACAGAUGGAUUUGGUGUGUGUAAUGUUGGACCCACUGGUAAGACAAACACUAUUUUCCACAAAUAAUGACACUCACAUAAAGUUGCAUAUAUUCAAACCUCACGUGACAAAGGUGGGUAGAGCGCACAGAUCACAACAUAAACUCCAAAAAUGGCAUUAAAAUUGGAACCUUCUGUGCGUAAAUGACGCAUCGCGCUACGUGGCCUGGCUCUUUCUUUCAUAGAUGUUGGCAUAUAAAAUAAAUUUGGCCCACAAAACUGAAUAUUAUAAUAUCCGUAUAUAGGCUUAAAGUAGAUAACGCAUCUGAGCACUGAAACAAAUCAUCUGUUCAGCGGCAGCAGCAGCAAGACGGACAGAGGACACGGAGACGUGUCCAGGUUGAGCUGUGCGAGAAAUAAGAGGAAGAGGAAGAAAGAAAAGGAGGA